rnacentral:lncRNA from 1 species
UCCCAAAUCAAUAGAACUGCUAUACAAAAAAAAACAUUUAAACUCUCUCAUUUUCUAUAUAAAUGGCUACUCAAACAUAUGAUACUUCCAUCACCUACAGCUCAUGUCUAGGUGAAGCUGGAGCACGUGCGUUACUACACACUCUCACAACCUCUCUCUGUACCUGCCCCACACUUUAUGAAGAGCCCUCACUACACCAGAGACCUUCCCUCUGUGCCAUGAUUGGUGGUAGAAGAACACGAUAAUAAAGGCUGGACACACCUUGGCUGACUUAACAAAAUACCCAGAGGAAGGAACACAAAACAAGGAGACGUAAUUCAGGAGAAAAUGACUAUUCAUGUCUUCCCUCCAUCCUCUCCCUUGUUUCCUCAAGUCACCUUUCCUCCUAACCGCAACACUGGUCUUUAUAACUCCGAAGUUUAACAGGUAAAAGGACCUAGAACUUUGCUAGGGAAAUAAGCUUGUGUUAUUGCCUCAGCUGGACAAGAUGUAGAGAACUCCUGGCUCUUGGUGAGUAUAUAUUUGUUUCUAUGCCCCACUGUCCUUACUGUAUGAAGGUUAAGAGGGCAGGGCACAGAGGAGUGAGGACAGCAAUAAUCCUUACAAGGCCCGAAUAACACUGGUGGGCGAUGGGGAAUGACUGCAGAUAAUUUUGCCAGAUAGCUGGACAUGCUACACAUAUACACACAUUAUUUAAGAUACAGCAUUGCACUAAAUAAACCUGUGUAUUUCUCAUGUCAAGUCGCACCAAGGCUUAGCGGAUGCAAUUAGAUUGACAUAUUCAAUGGCUGGUUACUAUAACACAUAUUCGUUUGUAAAAUAUGGCAUUGUUCUGACAGAUGGUCUUACCAUGAAAACAACUAUAGUAACUAUCUUAGCAUAGAUGUCAAUUCCCUGACUUAGUCGGUCAAGGCAAACUUAUUCAGUAAACAGUCAAAAUCAGUUCAGCAAUCUUUCUCCUAUUUAAAAAAAAAAGUUAAAAUUUAUUCAUCGUCUCAGUAUGUUGAACAACUAUUUAAUCGUAUUAAACCAAACACAGAGACAUUCCUUCUUAUGUGAAUGCAUGUAAAAUGUAACCCACAGAAUAUGUACCUGAAAUCCUAUGUGGGAAAAAUAAUUGAGGAUUUUAUAUAUAUUCUGAAUGCAGCCAAAUGAUAGCUAAUGUCUUUAGGUCAAAGACAUAAUUGAAAAACCAGUGAAUCUUGUACUUACAGAUCAACCCAGAAAAAUAUAUUAGAUUUAUUUAUUUAUGCAUUUAUGUAUUUAUGUAUACUGUAUUAAUUAUUUUUGGUUACAAACAGAUUUGGUGCCUUAUAUAUCCUAACAAUAUUUUUUAUUUUAAGGCAGGACAUAAACAUGACUAAAAUAAGGUCACGUUUUGCCUGGAAGCUCUGGAAAUUAUCAGGAAACAUGCAGAUAAACUCAAAUUCACAAUACAAUGCAAAAAACAUGAAAUGACUAAACAG